UUGACGGGGCCCGCACAAGCGGUGGAGCAUGUGGUUUAAUUCGAAGCAACGCGAAGAACCUUACCAGGUCUUGACAUCCCCUGACAACCCGAGAGAUCGGGCGUUCCCCUUCGGGGGACAGGGUGACAGGUGGUGCAUGGUUGUCGUCAGCUCGUGUCGUGAGAUGUUGGGUUAAGUCCCGCAACGAGCGCAACCCUCGACCUUAGUUGCCAGCACUCAGUUGGGCACUCUAAGGUGACUGCCGGCUAAAAGUCGGAGGAAGUGGGGAUGACGUCAAAUCAUCAUGCCCCUUAUGACCUGGGCUACAAACGUGAUACAAUGGCUGAAACAAAGGGCAGCGAAGCAGUGAUGUGAAGCGAAACCCAAAAAAGCAGUCUCAGUUCGGAUUGAAGUCUGCAACUCGACUUCAUGAAGUCGGAAUCGCUAGUAAUCGCGAAUCAGAACGUCGCGGUGAAUACGUUCUCGGGGUUU
rnacentral:rRNA from 1 species